CCUACGGGAGGCAGCAGUAGGGAAUCUUCCGCAAUGGACGAAAGUCUGACGGAGCAACGCCGCGUGAACGAUGAAGGCCUUCGGGUCGUAAAGUUCUGUUGUUAGGGAAGAACAAGUGUUAGUUGAAUAAGCUGGCACCUUGACGGUACCUAACCAGAAAGCCACGGCUAACUACGUGCCAGCAGCCGCGGUAAUACGUAGGUGGCAAGCGUUGUCCGGAAUUAUUGGGCGUAAAGCGCGCGCAGGCGGUUUCUUAAGUCUGAUGUGAAAGCCCCCGGCUCAACCGGGGAGGGUCAUUGGAAACUGGGAAACUUGAGUGCAGAAGAGGAAAGUGGAAUUCCAAGUGUAGCGGUGAAAUGCGUAGAGAUUUGGAGGAACACCAGUGGCGAAGGCGACUUUCUGGUCUGUAACUGACGCUGAGGCGCGAAAGCGUGGGGAGCAAACAGGAUUAGAUACCCUGGUAGUCCACGCUGUAAACGAUGAGUGCUAAGUGUUAGAGGGUUUCCGCCCUUUAGUGCUGAAGUUAACGCAUUAAGC
rnacentral:rRNA from 1 species